rnacentral:rRNA from 1 species
CCUACGGGAGGCAGCAGUGAGGAAUAUUGGUCAAUGGCCGGAAGGCUGAACCAGCCAUGCCGCGUGAAGGUCAGUGCCCUAUGGGCGUUAAACUUCUUUUGUGCGGGAGCAAUAAUGGUCACGUGUGGCCAGACGAGAGUACCGUACGAAUAAGCAUCGGCUAACUCCGUGCCAGCAGCCGCGGUAAUACGGGGGAUGCAAGCGUUAUCCGGAUUUAUUGGGUUUAAAGGGUGCGUAGGCUGUGAGGUAAGUCAGCGGUGAAAUGCCCCCGCUCAACGGGGUGAAGUGCCAUUGAUACUGCCUUGCUGGAAUGCGGAUGCGGUGUGAGGAAUGUGUGGUGUAGCGGUGAAAUGCAUAGAUAUCACACAGAACACCGAUUGCGAAGGCAGCUCACGAAUCCGCGAUUGACGCUGAUGCACGAAAGCGUGGGUAUCAAACAGGAUUAGAUACCCUAGUAGUC